ACGACCAAAGAUAGUGGAAAAUACGGGAUCCCGUCCGCUCUCCCAUAGUCAAGCCACUAAUCGGCGGAUUAGUAGUUGGGUCGGUGACGACCAGCGAAUCCCCGCUGUUGUAUGUU
rnacentral:rRNA from 2 species